rnacentral:rRNA from 1 species
UACAGAGACUGCAAGCGUUAUUCGGAUUCACUGGGCGUAAAGGGUGCGCAGGCGGCCAAGUGUGUGAGGCGUGAAAGCCCGGGGCUUAACCCCGGAAUUGCACCUCAAAACUACAUGGCUAGAGCAUUGGAGAGGGUAGCAGAAUUCAUGGUGUAGCAGUGAAAUGCGUAGAGAUCAGCAGGAACACCCGUGGCGAAGGCGGCCCCCUGGGCCGUACCUGACGCUGAGGCGCGAAGGCUAGGGGAGCGAACGGG